rnacentral:rRNA from 1 species
UACGCAGGCUGUCUCGUAAGUCGGGUGUGAAAGCCCGGGCUCAACCCCGGAAUUGCGCCCGAGACUGCGGGGCUUGAAUGCGGGAGAGGGAAGCGGAAUUCCUGGUGUAGAGGUGAAAUUCGUAGAUAUCAGGAGGAACACCGGUGGCGAAAGCGGCUUCCUGCCCGACAUUGACGCUCAUGUACGAGAGCGUGGGGAGCAAACA